GGGGUUGUGACUCAGUGGUAGAGUGCUUGCCUGGCAUGUGUGAGGCCCUGGGUUCAAUCCUCAGCACCA
rnacentral:tRNA from 1 species